rnacentral:rRNA from 1 species
CCUACGGGGGGCUGCAGUGGGGAAUAUUGGACAAUGGGCGAAAGCCUGAUCCAGCCAUGCCGCGUGUGUGAAGAAGGCCUUCGGGUUGUAAAGCACUUUCAGUGGGGAAGAAAGCCUUGGGGCUAAUACCCUCGAGGAAGGACAUCACCCACAGAAGAAGCACCGGCUAACUCCGUGCCAGCAGCCGCGGUAAUACGGAGGGUGCGAGCGUUAAUCGGAAUUACUGGGCGUAAAGCGCGCGUAGGCGGUCUGAUAAGCCGGUUGUGAAAGCCCCGGGCUCAACCUGGGAACGGCAUCCGGAACUGUCAGGCUAGAGUGCAGGAGAGGAAGGUAGAAUUCCCGGUGUAGCAGUGAAAUGCGUAGAGAUCGGGAGGAAUACCAGUGGCGAAGGCGGCCUUCUGGACUGACACUGACGCUGAGGUGCGAAAGCGUGGGUAGCAAACAGGAUUAGAUACCCGGGUAGUC